rnacentral:rRNA from 1 species
UACGGAGGAUCCGAGCGUUAUCCGGAUUUAUUGGGUUUAAAGGGUGCGUAGGUGGAUUGGUAAGUCAGUGGUGAAAGUUUGCAGCUUAACUGUAAAAUUGCCGUUGAAACUGCCGGUCUUGAGUGCAAAUGAGGUAGGCGGAAUGCGUCGUGUAGCGGUGAAAUGCAUAGAUAUUACUCAGAACACCGAUUGCGAAGGCAGCUUACUAAUCCAUCAUUGACGCUGAGGCACGAAAGCGUGGGGAUCAAACAGGAUUAGAUA